AGAGUUUGAUCCUGGCUCAGGACGAACGCUGGCGGCGUGCCUAACACAUGCAAGUCGAACGGAGUGAAGCCCUUCGGGACUUUACUUAGUGGCGAACGGGUGAGUAACGCGUGAGGAACCUGCCUUUCAGUGGGGGACAACAGUUGGAAACGACUGCUAAUACCGCAUGAUGCUUUUGAGGGACAUCCCUUAAAAGCCAAAGCUUUAUGUGCUGGAAGAUGGCCUCGCGUCUGAUUAGCUAGUUGGUGGGGUAACGGCCCACCAAGGCGACGAUCAGUAGCCGGUCUGAGAGGAUGAACGGCCACAUUGGGACUGAGAUACGGCCCAGACUCCUACGGGAGGCAGCAGUGGGGAAUAUUGGGCAAUGGGCGAAAGCCUGACCCAGCAACGCCGCGUGAGGGAAGAAGGGUUUCGGCUCGUAAACCUCUGUCCUAUGGGACGAAGGAAGUGACGGUACCAUAGGAGGAAGCCCCGGCUAACUACGUGCCAGCAGCCGCGGUAAUACGUAGGGGGCGAGCGUUAUCCGGAUUUAUUGGGCGUAAAGCGUGCGUAGGCGGUUUAUUAAGUCUAGAAUUAAAGCCCGAGGCUUAACCUCGGUUCGUUCUAGAUACUGGUUGACUAGAGUACAGUAGAGGCAAAUGGAAUUCCUAGUGUAGCGGUGGAAUGCGUAGAUAUUAGGAGGAACACCAGUGGCGAAGGCGAUUUGCUGGGCUGUAACUGACGCUGAGGUACGAAAGCGUGGGUAGCAAAUAGGAUUAGAUACCCUAGUAGUCCACGCUGUAAACGAUGAGCACUAAGUGUCGGGUUACCGGUGCUGAAGUUAACACAUUAAGUGCUCCGCCUGAGUAGUACGGUCGCAAGACUGAAACUCAAAGGAAUUGACGGGCACCCGCACAAGCGGUGGAGCAUGCUGUUUAAUUCGAAAAUACGCGAAGAACCUUACCUAGACUUGACAUCCCCGGCAAAGCUCUGGAAACAGAGUGGAGGUUAUCCGGGUGACAGGUGGUGCAUGGUUGUCGUCAGCUCGUGUCGUGAGAUGUUCGGUUAAGUCCGAUAACGAGCGCAACCCCUAUCUUUAAUUGCUAACAUUAAGUUGAGAACCUUAAAGAUACUGCCGGUGACAAACCGGAGGAAGGUGGGGAUGACGUCAAAUCAUCAUGCCCCUUACGUCCAGGGCUACAGGCGUGCUACAAUGGCUGGUAUAAAAAGACGCGAUACCGUGAGGUGGAGCAAAUCUCCAAAGCCAGUCCCAGUCCGGAUUGGAGUCUGCAACUCGACUCCAUGAAGUUGGAAUCGCUAGUAAUCCCGAAUCAGAAUGUCGGGGUGAAUACGUUCCCGGGUGUUGUACACACCGCCCGUCACGCCAUGGGAGUCUGUAAUGCUUGAAGUCGGUAACCAAACCCGAAAGGGAUGGGGCCGCCGAGGGUAGGACAGGUGACUGGGGUGAAGUCGUAACAAGGUAUCCCU
rnacentral:rRNA from 1 species